CCUACGGGAGGCAGCAGUAGGGAAUUUUCCACAAUGGGCGCAAGCCUGAUGGAGCAACACCGCGUGAGUGAAGAAGGGUUUCGGCUCGUAAAGCUCUGUUGUUGGAGAAGAACGUGCGUGAGAGUAACUGUUCACGCAGUGACGGUAUCCAACCAGAAAGUCACGGCUAACUACGUGCCAGCAGCCGCGGUAAUACGUAGGUGGCAAGCGUUAUCCGGAUUUAUUGGGCGUAAAGCGAGCGCAGGCGGUUGCUUAGGUCUGAUGUGAAAGCCUUCGCCUUAACCGAAGAAGUGCAUCGGAAACCGGGGAACUUGAGUGCAGAAGAGGACAGUGGAACUCCAUGUGUAGCGGUGGAAUGCGUAGAUAUAUGGAAGAACACCAGUGGCGAAGGCGGCUGUCUGGUCUGCAACUGACGCUGAGGCUCGAAAGCAUGGGUAGCGAACAGGAUUAGAUACCCCAGUAGUC
rnacentral:rRNA from 1 species